rnacentral:rRNA from 1 species
UGCCAGCCGCCGCGGUAAUACGGAGGGGGUUAGCGUUAUUCGGAAUUACUGGGCGUAAAGCGCGCGUAGGCGGACUGUUAAGUCGGUUGUGAAAGCCCUGGGCUCAACCUGGGAAUUGCAUUCGAUACUGCUUAGCUAGAGUAUGAGAGAGGGUAGUGGAAUUCCGGGUGUAGCGGUGAAAUGCGUAGAUAUCCGGAGGAACAUCAGUGGCGAAGGCGGCUGCCUGGCUAAAUACUGACACUGAGGUGCGAAAGCGUGGGGAGCAAACAGGAUUAGAUA